rnacentral:rRNA from 1 species
GACGUAGGGCGCGAGCGUUGUCCGGAUUUAUUGGGCGUAAAGAGCUCGUAGGCGGUUCGGUAAGUCGGGUGUGAAACCUCCAGGCUCAACCUGGAGACGCCACCCGAUACUGCUGUGACUAGAGUCCGGUAGGGGAGCGUGGAAUUCCUGGUGUAGCGGUGAAAUGCGCAGAUAUCAGGAGGAACACCAGCGGCGAAGGCGGCGCUCUGGGCCGGAACUGACGCUGAGGAGCGAAAGCGUGGGGAGCAAACAGG